rnacentral:rRNA from 1 species
AGAGUUUGAUCAUGGCUCAGGAUGAACGCUAGCGGCAGGCUUAAUACAUGCAAGUCGAGGGGCAGCAUGACUGUAGCAAUACAGUUGAUGGCGACCGGCAAACGGGUGCGGAACACGUACGCAACCUUCCUUUAAGUGGAGCAUAGCCCAGGGAAACUUGGAUUAAUACUUCGUAACAUUAUGAGAUGGCAUCAUUUUAUAAUUAUAGUUCCGACGCUUAAAGAUGGGCGUGCGCCUGAUUAGGUAGUUGGCGGGGUAACGGCCCACCAAGCCUGCGAUCAGUAACUGGUGUGAGAGCACGACCAGUCACACGGGCACUGAGACACGGGCCCGACUCCUACGGGAGGCAGCAGUAAGGAAUAUUGGUCAAUGGACGCAAGUCUGAACCAGCCAUGCCGCGUGGAGGAUGAAGGUCCUCUGGAUUGUAAACUUCUUUUAUUUGGGAAGAAACCCACGUUUUCUAAUGUGGUUGACGGUACCAGAUGAAUAAGCACCGGCUAACUCCGUGCCAGCAGCCGCGGUAAUACGGAGGGUGCAAGCGUUAUCCGGAUUCACUGGGUUUAAAGGGUGCGUAGGCGGGUUGGUAAGUCCGUGGUGAAAUCUCCAAGCUUAACUUGGAAACUGCCGUGGAUACUAUCAAUCUUGAAUGUCGUGGAGGUAAGCGGAAUAUGUCAUGUAGCGGUGAAAUGCUUAGAGAUGACAUAGAACACCAAUUGCGUAGGCAGCUUACUACACGAAUAUUGACGCUGAGGCACGAAAGCGUGGGGAGCAAACAGGAUUAGAUACCCUAGUAGUCC